rnacentral:sRNA from 1 species
GCACCUGCAAAAUCAGGUGUCAGAAUUAGCCUUCUGAAAAUCAUACUGGCGACAUAUACUUCUAU